rnacentral:lncRNA from 12 species
GGACGGCCGACGCGUGGCACUGAGGCCCGGUCACCUCGCUGCCGUUGUCGUGGUUUCCGGUCGGUCGUGGCGCUUCUAUGGAUCUCGACGGCUUUCCGUGGCAUCAUCACGUCCAUUUGGCAUUUAUCCGCAGGAGGAGAUGGACCGUCCCUACAAGUACAAAGUCUGACUCAGUUACUUCUAAAGUCUUGUUAUUUUUUAACGGAAGCUGUUGACAGACAACCUACGGCAUUGCAGCUAGAGGAUUACGCGGAGCGUAAAAGGGGCUCGAAAAGCUGUGCGGUGGAUCUCAUUUUAAGCAAACACCCGGCGCUGCUCUGGAAAAAGCCUCGUCCUCUCCAAGGAGCCACUCGAGCUGGUCGAGCACUUGUUUCAGAGCUGUGUCAUCCCUCAAGGUGUCUCAGGCCUCCUCCCUUGAAACUGCCGUCAGAGUCUUUUGAACAUCCUCAAGGAAGGGAGGAAAUUUAAAAAAAAUAAAUAAAAAAGCGUAAUCCUUUGAGGAAGAAUU